GCAACGAGGAUCAUCUCUUCGCUGACACUGGACAGAAGAAGCCGAAGAAGGAAAGAAGCUCUCUCGUGGCGCUGCAACCGAAUAUCAGCUAACGUACAACAAACUUGAAAUGGCAAUCGAUACCAACACCUCUUGGAAAACAACACUUAUAAUCAGCACCUCACCUCAGUGUGAUGAAGCCUCGCAGAUUCUUGUAGCGCAGCAGCACAGGAUUCGCCGCUCGGACAACAUCCUGUCCUCUUCCUUUGUUUCCCCCUUGU